CUGGGAUUUUGAGGAGCAAGCUGGAGCUGACAGUCUCACUGCCUUCACUGAGAUAACUUCAGUUCAGCUACUGAAGAUAGGAAGUAUCUUUGGGUCCAAGUAAACUCAUGAAGAAACCACAUUUGGCCCUCAGUUGGUGUGAAGAGCAGGCAAACGCUAUUCCCAGGCUUAGCAUCCUGCCUAUGCUGAAGAUAUGGAUUGCCAAAAUUUGGACUUAGAGGUUUCAAACUUCUGUCCAGUAUGUGAUCUCUCCUGCAAGCAAAUAUUGGAGCCCAUUUCUAGCAUCAUAAUUCAGCUGCAAAUUGUACAGGCAUAGAUACGGCUUUUCUUCAGGCAGUGUGCUACAAAAGAAUUAACCUGAAUUAAUGGACUUAAAAAGCCCCCAAGAGUAGAGUAAUUUUCACCUAUAGUACUACUAUAAGGCACAUUGAUUGUUGUUGAUUUCCUUUGAUUUCAUUUCACAGACAUAUAAUAAAUCCAAUAAAAACGCUCACCUCUGAGCCUCACAAAAUCUUGAUCAGAGGAAUAAUGUGGUUUUCACACCCCUGCUCAUGAUCAGUGAUUUCUCUUUUGCAGAUUCUUUAACUUUGUAAUAGAUGAAACUGAAUCUUACAUUGGUUCAGUUGCCUUGAGUCUGGACAUAGGAAGUGGAUCUAAGCAAAAAUCUAUAGUCUUUCCAGGCUCAAUUGCUUUAAAUGGUCUUAUCUAGAUUGGGGAAAAAAAAAAAAAAAGAAAAAAAAAGUACUUACUCUUUAUUGAAGCUACAAGUCCUAGAGUUUUUUGAAAGAUAAAACCUAUUAUUUCUUCUUCUUACUUCCAGCCUCUGCCUCAUAUCUGACUUCUGCAUAUUGCAGAGCUGUUUCCUAAGGUAUUUAGUCUUCUCAGCCUGCUCUGCUGCAGUAUAUGCAGAUACAUUUCUGAACAUAAACCCUGUGGUAAUAUUAGGAUUAGCUCAUUUUUCCUACCACAUUUUUUUUUCCUACCAAAUUUAUCUUAAAAUCUAUGUUUUUUUAUAUUAAAACUAUGCACAGAUCAGUGUUUCACUCCUAAAGCAAUAAUUCCUUUUCAUCUACAAACAUGAAUGUGGUGCUCACUGUAAUCCAUUCAGAAUACCAUCCUGUUCUGCUUGGUAAUAUUCACUUUCAUUUUACAUAAAGGUAAACUCCUGAUCCCAUGGAAGUUGACAGGAAAUUUGUAAUUGAAUGAAAACUAGACUUCUACCAAAAUUUGUAAAUUUUCUAAUAAAAAGAUGGUAUUACCAUUUGUAAGUAAAUCAAAUCUGUAACACAUGGUUUAAUAUAUGCAUGUCACCUACAAAGAUAAUACAAAGAGCACAAAUACUUUCUAAUUACCUUUGUCACCUUCACGAAGUCCCUGCCAGUGGUUCAUGAUGAGGUUAAGAAGACCCUGUUACGUUCUCAGCAGGGAUGAGGCGAGUUGAUGAUCCUGGAGGUGGUGUCAUCCCAGCUUCAUGACUGCAAAACACCGAAAUCCUCCCUUCUGAAAGCUUGAAGAUGUACUAGAGGUACCAUCAAACUGCUAAUUCUUCUUGUCUACUGGAGGAAGAAGCAGUAGUCUCCCUGUACACAAAUGCCAAAGCAUUUUUGCUUUUAGAGGAGACAAGAAUCAAAAUUGUUCAGAGGAAGAAAUCCAAAUUCUUUUGUACUUGCAUGGAAUAAAUACAUAUCUUUUACCUUCCCCUUCAGGACUGUGAAUCUGAACAAUCUGAAUCAACUCUUCAGGCCUUGACUCUUAUAAAAAAAAAAAAAAAAAAGUGUAUAAGUUUACUGGGAAUGUUUAACUUGUCAUUUUCUGUCCUUGGGCUAUUUCAUUUCUGAAGUGAAGACAACAAUACAUUAAAUUUGGUGUUAUCCUCUCUUCAAGUGUUUUCAUAAUAUUUUUUGCUUGUUUCCUGGAUGGAAAAUUCAAAUUAUGCUACUCUUUGUGUCAGCUGACUAAGGCAGCAUCUCUGGGGGCUCCAGAGAUGGGCAGGUUAACUUCUACACAGCCAAAAUGCUGUCACUGGCUUAUGGAAAUAGAAGAAUAGAUUUUGAUGCAGUGCCACAUUUUCGUUUGUGACAUUUUGUGUCUCUUCUAUUAAGAUUCAUUCUGAAUUUGUAGGUUAGUACUUUUGGAUCAUUCCAGUUGGGUAAAAAAAAUGGUGAAAGAACUGCACUGCAAAUGCAGAGAUAUCAUUAAACUGAUCAAACUGAUUUUUGGAGUUGUUGCAUAAGGCGUUGUGAAAGGGAAAUAGGCAGUGCUCUGUCAAUACUGGACAACAAAGUCUUGAGAUGCAACGAUGGAAGGAAAGAGGAGAGUAGCUAACACUAAUUGAUAAGUAAAAGAAUAAUUUGAUUUUCUUGUGUAUGGUGUCCUUCUAGUUAGCAUCUAUAUAAUUACUACAAGUUAUAUCAUUUGUUCAUACUGUGUCUGAAUAAAACUGAUGCUC
rnacentral:lncRNA from 1 species